ACGGAAGGCAGCAGUGGGGGAUAUUGCACAAUGGGGGAAACCCUGAUGCAGCGACGCCGCGUGAGUGAAGAAGUAUUUCGGUAUGUAAAGCUCUUUAAGCUGGAAAGAUAAUGACGGUACCAGCAGAAUAAGCCCCGGCUAACUACGUGCCAGCAGCCGCGGUAAUACGUAGGGGGCAAGCGUUAUCCGGAUUUACUGGGUGUAAAGGGCGUGUAGGCGGGACAGCAAGUCAGAUGUGAAAGCACGAGGCUCAACUUCGUGUCUGCAUUUGAAACUGCUGUUCUUGAGUGCUGGAGAGGCUAACGGAACUCCUAGUGUAGCGGUGAAAUGCGUAGAUAUUAGGAAGAACACCAGUGGCGAAGGCGGUUAGCUGGACAGUAACUGACGCUGAGGCGCGAAAGCGUGGGUAGCAAACAGGAUUAGAUACCCUGGUA
rnacentral:rRNA from 1 species